rnacentral:tRNA from 1 species
GCGCCUUUAGUUCAGUUGGUAGAACGUCGGUCUCCAAAACCGGAUGUCGUGGGUUCAAGUCCUACAGGGCGCG